UGGGGAAUAUUGCACAAUGGAGGGAACUCUGAUGCAGCGACGCCGCGUGAACGAAGAAGGCUUUCGAGUCGUAAAGUUCUUUUAUAUGGGAAGAUAAUGACGGUACCAUAAGAAAAAGCCCCGGCUAACUACGUGCCAGCAGCCGCGGUAAUACGUAGGGGGCUAGCGUUGUCCGGAAUCACUGGGCGUAAAGGGUUCGCAGGCGGAAAUGCAAGUCAGGUGUAAAAGGCAGUAGCUUAACUACUGUAAGCAUUUGAAACUGCAUAUCUUGAGAAGAGUAGAGGUAAGUGGAAUUUUUAGUGUAGCGGUGAAAUGCGUAGAUAUUAAAAAGAAUACCGGUGGCGAAGGCGACUUACCGGGCUCAUUCUGACGCUGAGGAACGAAAGCGUGGGUAGCAAACAGG
rnacentral:rRNA from 2 species